GAUGAACGCUGGCGGCGUGCCUAAUACAUGCAAGUCGAGCGAACAGACGAGGAGCUUGCUCCUCUGACGUUAGCGGCGGACGGGUGAGUAACACGUGGAUAACCUACCUAUAAGACUGGGAUAACUUCGGGAAACCGGAGCUAAUACCGGAUAAUAUAUUGAACCGCAUGGUUCAAUAGUGAAAGACGGUUUUGCUGUCACUUAUAGAUGGAUCCGCGCCGCAUUAGCUAGUUGGUAAGGUAACGGCUUACCAAGGUAACGAUGCGUAGCCGACCUGAGAGGGUGAUCGGCCACACUGGAACUGAGACACGGUCCAGACUCCUACGGGAGGCAGCAGUAGGGAAUCUUCCGCAAUGGGCGAAAGCCUGACGGAGCAACGCCGCGUGAGUGAUGAAGGUCUUCGGAUCGUAAAACUCUGUUAUUAGGGAAGAACAAAUGUGUAAGUAACUAAGCACGUCUUGACGGUACCUAAUCAGAAAGCCACGGCUAACUACGUG
rnacentral:rRNA from 1 species